ACACGUUCUCGGGGCGGGGUGCGAUUCCCCACCGGCGGUAAUCGUCGCUAGACGUGUCUGACGUUUUCAGCGACGUAGCCCGCGAGCGCUCAUCGAUGUGACCGCAAUGGCAACAUUGCGGUAUCGCAGCGAGCGAGGUCAGCAGACCCGGUUGGAUUCCGGGGCCGACGGUAUAGUCCGGAUGAAAGAGAACAGGA
rnacentral:ncRNA from 2 species